UCAUCUUUGUGGUAUGAUUCUAACCGAGGGGACGGAAACCUCCAGCCGAUGGGGAGAGGAUGGGAUCGCUUAAAAUAAUAUAAGCGAGGAAUGCACUCAAUUUACAGCUUGUGUGAUGUGAUGGAGCAGGAGGAAGGUGGAACAGAAAGGCUGAAUGUGGAUGAGAACGUGGAGGAGUGUGGAGCGGUUGAUCCUAACAUCUGCAGCCAGCUUAUGACAAGGAUCCCUUCUGGAGAAAAAGGUCUCAAGAGGAGAAAUACAUGAGAAUAGCAAGAUAUCACAAAGGAAAUCCACCAGGUCUGAUCAAGGAGUGCUGAUUCUUUAAAUAGGAUCUUUAAUGAAAACAAAGGCAGUCACCUUGCAUGCACUGUCCACUGUAUUGAAAUGUUCCAAAAACAGUCCCUCUCCCAAGGUAAUACAACAAAACAUUUGCCUAACUCAGACAAAGAACAUGUUUAAGCUCAGACUAAUUCCUUUUUUAAAAGUUACAUGAAAAUCAUAGUCCAUGAACAACACUGCAGAAUCUGAAGAGAUAUUUCUAGGACAUUGUUUUCCUUUUACUGGAUUUUUUUCAUUAAAAUGAAAUCAAAUAAGUAUCUUUUGAACAUUGAGCAAUACCUCUAAGUAUACCACUGUGCA